UCGGAUCGCGGCGAUGUGGGCGGUUCGCUGCCUGCGACGUCGCGAGAAGUCCAUUGAACCUUAUCAUUUAGAGGAAGGAGAAGUCGUAACAAGGUUUCCGUAGGUGAACCUGCGGAAGGAUCAUUGUCGUAACCUGCGAAAGCAAUGCAACUCGCGAACACGUACUUUACACUCGGGAAUCCAGGGGUGCCUCCCUUGGGAACACCCUUGGUUUCCAGACAACGUUGGGGCGGCUUGGCUUUCUUUUAUCCCGGCGACGUAAAACUCGCUUGGGCUAACAAGCGUCGGGCUAAACCAACGCAACAAAAAACCGGCGUGAAAUGCGCCAAGGAACAUGAAAGAGAGUGCGCUCUUCUGGUGUCAGUACUGCUGCGCCAGGACGGGCGUUGUCUUCUUGAUGAGUUUAUAAUGACUCUCGGCAACGGAUAUCUCGGCUCUUACAUCGAUGAAGAACGUAGCAAAAUGCGAUACUUGGUGUGAAUUGCAGAAUCCCGUGAACCAUCGAGUCUUUGAACGCAAGUUGCGCCCGAAUCCUUUUGGUCGAGGGCACGUCUGCCUGGGUGUCACGUACACAUGCCUCCCGCAAACCUUCCCCCCUUUGUGGAUGAAGGGCCUCGCGGGAGCAGAUAAUGGUAUCCCGUGCCCUUUCCGCGCGGCUUGCCUAAAAAUGGGGAGCCGGUGACGUAACGUCACGCCUAGUGGUGGUUAACGUGGCCUAACGCCCAACCAGUUCGCGGCGUGACUAGUUUUCACCGGAAGUCUCUUGCGACACCUUGGACGUCCCUUAAUGGGCGUGCUAUUGUCGCGACCCCAGGUCAGGCGGGACUACCCGCUGAAUUUAAGCAUAUCAAUAAGCGGAGGAAGAGAAACUUACAAGGAUUCCCCUAGUAAC
rnacentral:misc_RNA from 1 species